rnacentral:tRNA from 1 species
CCCCGGGUAGCUCAAUGGCAGAGCGUCCGGCUGUAUACCGGAAGGUUGUGGGUUCAAAUCCCACCCCGGGGA